CCAACAGCAGCUACGACGAAGCAAACGGCAUAAAAGCCCCUAUCGACACAUGAAAUCACAUUAUUUUAUGUGAUUUCAUGGCUUUUAUGGAUCGUACACGCAAAGCAGAGGUCAAACAGCCAAGGCAAGACUCCCGCUGACUGGUCUCGGCGUGCCGGAGGCCGUGCUCACCUUUCGGAGCACUGCCGGCCACUGUGGCACGCGCACGGGCGACGCAAAAUUAGAGAAACAGCGCGCACAGUAGGAAAAGCAUGCUUAUCUCGCUGACCAGGGGCUCGUUGACCCUAAGUGAGGUGAGCACUGUGAUCAGGACUGACUGACGAUCACCGUGCUCACCUCCGGAGGCAUCGGAACAGCCUCAGGUCGCCGGAACAGUGAGCAGAACAGGAAACACUGCGCAGAAAGGCUGAAAACGAGCUUACCGGCCAGGGGAGAGCUAGGGUUGGCCGCCGGUGGCUGGACGGCGGGCGGCCCGGCCGGGGGAGGGU
rnacentral:lncRNA from 1 species